GCGACUCUUAAAACAGCUCCCUCUCCACAAUAGCAGACCUGGUUUCCCACCAUUGCUCCUCUAGACGAAGCACUACGAGAGCUCCCCCAUGACCAAGUAGAAGACUGAUUCAUUGACAUUGCUUCCAGUACGGAGACGAUAAAGCUUCGACCACACCUACAACAAAAACCCAUUCCCAAACAGCCAAGUUAGGGCACCCACC
rnacentral:lncRNA from 1 species